rnacentral:misc_RNA from 1 species
AAGUCAUAACAAGGUUACUGUAGGUGAACCUGCAGUAGGAUCAUUAUUGAAAAAUAGGGCUUUCCCAUUCUUUGGGGCCCGAACCUUCACAUAAUUUCCACACACUUGUGAAUCGUUGGAGCGUUUUUUGAAAAAGAGACGCUCUGGCACCCUUUAAUUAUUACAAACACUGAGUUAAUGGAUGUAGUUGUAAACUUGUCUUUUGACAGAAACAAAAAUACAACUUUCGACAACAGAUCUCUUGGUUCUCC